rnacentral:tRNA from 2 species
CAAGAAGUAGUUUAAUUAAAAUAUUAAUUUUGGAGAUUAAUGAUAAAGAUAAAUCUUUUUUCUUGA